UAGCUAGUUGGUGAGGUAAAGGCUUACCAAGGCGACGAUCUGUAGCGGGUCUGAGAGGAUGAUCCGCCACACUGGAACUGAGACACGGUCCAGACUCCUACGGGAGGCAGCAGUGGGGAAUUUUGGACAAUGGGGGCAACCCUGAUCCAGCCAUGCCGCGUGAGUGAAGAAGGCCUUCGGGUUGUAAAGCUCUUUCGGCCGGGAAGAAAUCGCAUGGGCCAAUACCCUGUGUGGAUGACGGUACCGGAAUAAGAAGCACCGGCUAACUACGUGCCAGCAGCCGCGGUAAUACGUAGGGUGCGAGCGUUAAUCGGAAUUACUGGGCGUAAAGCGUGCGCAGGCGGUUUUGUAAGACAGGCGUGAAAUCCCCGGGCUUAACCUGGGAACUGCGUUUGUGACUGCAAGGCUAGAGUACGGCAGAGGGGGGUGGAAUUCCACGUGUAGCAGUGAAAUGCUAGAGGUGUGGAGGAACACCAAUGGCGAAGGCAGCCCCCAGGGUCGAUACUGACGCUCAUGCACGAAAGCGUGGGUAGCAAACAGGAUUAGAUACCCUGGUAGUCCACGCCCUAAACUAUGUCAACUAGGUGUUGGGUGGGUAAACCAUUUAGUACCGUAGCUAACGCGUGAAGUUGACCGCCUGGGGAGUACGGCCGCAAGGUUAAAACUCAAAGGAAUUGACGGGACCCGCACAAGCGGUGGAUGAUGUGGAAUAAUUCGAUGCAACGCGAAAAACCUUACCUACCCUUGACAUGCCAGGAACUUGCCAGAGAUGGCUUGGUGCCCGAAAGGGAGCCUGGACACAGGUGCUGCAUGGCUGUCGUCAGCUCGUGUCGUGAGAUGUUGGGUUAAGUCCCGCAACGAGCGCAACCCUUGUCGUUAAUUGCCAUCAUUUAGUUGGGCACUUUAACGAGACUGCCGGUGACAAACCGGAGGAAGGUGGGGAUGACGUCAAGUCCUCAUGGCCCUUAUGGGUAGGGCUUCACACGUCACACAAUGGUCGGUACAAAGGGUUGCCAAGCCGCGAGGCGGAGCCAAUCCCAGAAAGCCGAUCGUAGUCCGGAUCGCAGGCUGCAACUCGCCUGCAUGAAGUCGGAAUCGCUAGUAAUCGUGGAUCAGCAUGUCACGGUGAAUACGUUCCCGGGUCUUGUACACACCGCCCGUCACACCAUGGGAGCGGGUUCCGCCAGAAGUAGGUAGCCUAACCGCAAGGGGGGCGCUUACCACGGCGGGGUUCGUGACUGGGGUGAAGUCGUAACAAGGUAGCCGUAGGGGAACCUGCGGCUG
rnacentral:rRNA from 1 species